rnacentral:lncRNA from 1 species
UGCACUCCAGCCUGAGCAACAGAGCAAGACUGUCUCCAAAAAAAAAAAAAAAAAAAGUAUAUUUUCUAGCUGUUUGGCUUUAGCUUAAAUUACACAAGUGGAAAGAAAUAUAAUGUUGCCUCUGUGUCUUUUCCAUGUUUUUCUCCCACUCGAAUGUGGGGUGUCUCUCCCCCAUCCCACCUGGAGGUCUUUUGUAUGGAAGGAACCAGCCGGUCUAGGUGGCUCCUGGGACACCCCAGGUCCAAGCUCUGGUUGGCCGCUCCCUGGGCUGGAACAGUGACGUAUUGUUGCCCCCUGGUGGCCACGGAGCACCAUAACGGGCAGGAAAACAAGAGAAAUUCUUGCUCUUGCCAAGACAGACAUGGGGAAUUUCGAAGGCCCGCCUUCUGAACGUCACCUCGUCCCCUCUUCCUUGGUCCAGUGAGAAGUCCAGAUGCUUCCCUUGGGGAUGCCCAGAACACAGCCUGGGAUGAUGAGGAGAGGCGGGAGAGCUUCCUAGGAGAUGGGCCCUGGAGCACCACCGUCCCUCCCCUAGGCCCAGGAUGUGAUUCUGAAUCUACAGUCAGACUGGACCACCUCUCCCCCAUGCCCCCAGAAUGUCCACAGGGGCUCCCUCGCCUACAAUAGAUGGAUUAGAUUCCUCCCUACUCUUCCCACACUGUCAGAGUCUGACUGGUGUGAAGUUCCGGUGUUUUUGUGUGUAUUUUACUACCAGGGUCGGCUAGAUAAGGAGGAGCUUUCAUUACAUCCUGGAAGUCUGUCCCCCGCACACACGCACAGCCGUCCUCCCUUCCCCCAACAUCUGAUCUAAUUCUCUCUCUGCUUUGCUGAGGCUGGCCUGGCCUAAGAGGAUUAGAGCAUUUGCUAAACGGGACCAGGACAGGCAGGGUCAGAGAACCCGCUGUGGGGAGACCCAGGGCCAGGAUGGCCACUAGGGGGCGGCAGAGGAAGCGAGACGCGGAGAGGGGUGUGGAGUGCUGAGGAGAGGCACUCGUCGGCUUAGCAGCAAUCAAUGUCCACAAAGUAACCAUGAAGUUUUAUUCAUUUUUAAAUUUACAAUGUCCAGCUAAGUUAUGAGAAUUCAAAAGAAUUGAACUAGGUUCCUGGAAACAAAAUAAACAGAUCAACUGAAUUCUAUGUGCAAGACAAACAUUUUUUUAAAAUAAGAAAUUUAAAAUACCAUGUAAAAUAUCAGACAAUAAUAAAAAUGAAGUGCAAGAAAUAAAUCUACAGAAAGAUGCAUGCAAGAGCUCUGUGAUUAAAUAAUAACAUUUCAGCCAG